rnacentral:rRNA from 1 species
GACAGAGGUGCCAAGCGUUAGGCGGAAUCACUGGGCUUAAAGCGCACGUAGGCGGACGUGUCAGUCAGGGGUGAAAUCCCAAGGCUCAACCUUGGAACUGCCUUUGAUACUGGGGAUCUCGAGUCCGGAAGAGGUUGGUGGAACUGCGAGUGUAGAGGUGAAAUUCGUAGAUAUUCGCAAGAACACCAGUGGCGAAGGCGGCCAACUGGUCCGGUACUGACGCUGAGGUGCGAAAGCGUGGGGAGCAAACAGG